UACGUAGGGGGCAAGCGUUGUCCGGAUUUAUUGGGCGUAAAGCGCUCGCAGGUGGUUCGUCGCGUCGUGCGUGAAAGACCCCGGCUCAACUGGGGGGCGUCGUGCGAUACGGGCGGACUGGAGGCCAGUAGGGGGAUGCGGAAUUCCGGGUGGAGCGGUGAAAUGCGUAGAUAUCUGGAGGAACACCGGUGGCGAAAGCGGCUCACUGGACCUGAUCUGACACUGAGGUGUGAAAGCUAGGGUAGCAAACGGG
rnacentral:rRNA from 1 species